rnacentral:pre_miRNA from 1 species
AACGGUUUAAGAGAGCUUCCUUCAGUCCACUCAUGGACGGGUGAAGGGUUUGAAUUAUAUGCCGACUCAUUCAUUCAAACGCAAUAGAAAAAGGGUAGAGGUUGCUAUUGUGAAUGUAUGAAUGAUGCGGGAGAUAAAAUUUCAUCCUUCUCUUCUCUGUGCUUGGACUGAAGGGAGCUCCCUUUAAUUGUUUC